rnacentral:rRNA from 1 species
UACGGAGGGGGCAAGCGUUGUUCGGAUUUACUGGGCGUAAAGAGUUCGUAGGCGGUUGUGUAAGUCUGGUGUGAAAUCUUCACCGCUCAACGGGAAGAGGUCACUGGAAACUGCGCAACUUGAGUAUGGUAGAGGCAAGCGGAAUUCCCGGUGUAGCGGUGGAAUGUGUAGAUAUCGGGAAGAACACCUGUGGCGAAGGCGGCUUGCUGGGCCAUUACUGACGCUGAGGAACGAAAGCGUGGGGAGCAAACGGG